rnacentral:tRNA from 1 species
GCCGAAGUGGUGGAAUUGGUAGACACGCUAGCUUGAGGGGCUAGUGAGCACAUUUCGCUCGUAGGGGUUCGAGUCCCCUCUUCGGCA